rnacentral:rRNA from 1 species
ACGAACGCUGGCGGCGUGCUUAACACAUGCAAGUCGAACGGAAAGGCCCUGCUUGCCGGGUGCUCGAGUGGCGAACGGGUGAGUAACACGUGGGUGAUCUGCCCCUUACUUUGGGAUAAGCCUGGGAAACUGGGUCUAGUACUGGAUAGGACCAUGCUGUAGGUGGUGUGGUGGAAAGAUUAGUUUCGGUAAGGGAUGAGCUCGCGGCCUAUCAGCUUGUUGGUGGGGUAAUGGCCUACCAAGGCGUCGACGGGUAGCCGGCCUGAGAGGGUGGACGGCCACAUUGGGACUGAGAUACGGCCCAGACUCCUACGGGAGGCAGCAGUGGGGAAUAUUGCACAAUGGGCGCAAGCCUGAUGCAGCGACGCCGCGUGGGGGAUGACGGCCUUCGGGUUGUAAACUCCUUUCAGCCAUGGCGAAGCCCUUGUGGUGACGGUAGUGGUAGAAGAAGCACCGGCUAACUACGU